GCUCCCUGGCAAUGGGCAAAGGAAUACCCUGUUGGUGGUGUUCUUGUAUCAGUCAGGGACAGAGCAGAUGGCAGUCCUUUGUUCAUCCUAGCUUGAUGUCUGGCUUGGUAGCCAAAGCUAUCUUAUGCCUAGGACUCUUAA